AUUGAACGCUGGCGGCAUGCCUUACACAUGCAAGUCGAACGGCAGCACGGGUGCUUGCACCUGGUGGCGAGUGGCGAACGGGUGAGUAAUACAUCGGAACGUACCUUAUCGUGGGGGAUAACGCAGCGAAAGCUGUGCUAAUACCGCAUACGCCCUGAGGGGGAAAGCGGGGGAUCGAAAGACCUCGCGCGAUUAGAGCGGCCGAUGCCUGAUUAGCUUGUUGGUGGGGUAAAAGCCCCCCAAGGCGACGAUCAGUAGCUGGUCUGAGAGGACGAGCAGCUACACUGGGACUGAGACACGGCCCAGACUCCUACGGGGGGCAGCAGUGGGGAAUUUUGGACAAUGGGGGCAACCCUGAUCCAGCAAUGCCGCGUGAGUGAAGAAGGCCUUCGGGUUGUAAAGCUCUUUUGUCAGGGAAGAAACACCGGCUCUAACACAGUCCGGGAAUGACGGUACCUGAAGAAUAAGCACCGGCUAACUACGUGCCAGCCGCCGCCGUAA
rnacentral:rRNA from 1 species